AAAGGUAGCAUAAUCAUUAGUUUAUUAAUUGUAGACUUGUAUGAAUGGUUGGACGAAAUAUUAACUGUCUCAUAUUUAUUAUUAUAAUUUAAAUUUUGAGUUAAAAUGCUUAAAUUUUUUUAUAGGACGAGAAGACCCUAUAGAUCUUUAUUUUUAAAUUUUUUACACUUUUUUGGUUUAAUUUUUUUGUAAUUAUUUGUUUAUUUUGUUGGGGUGAUAUUUAUAUAUGAUUAACUAUUUAUUUAUUUAUUUUCAAUUAUUUUUGUUUAUUUGACCUUUUAUUAUUGUUAUAAGAUUUAGAUACCUUAGGGAUAACAGCGUAAUUCUUUUUGAGAGUUCUUAUCGACAAAAGAGAUUGCGACCUCGAUGUUGGAUUAAGAUUAUAGUUGGGUGUAGGUGCUUGAUUGUUAAGUCUGUUCGACUUUUAAAUUCUUAC
rnacentral:rRNA from 1 species